UACGGAGGGGGCUAGCGUUGGUCGGAAUUACUGGGCGUAAAUCGCACGUUGGCGGAACAGAAAGUCAGAGGUGAAAUCCCAGGGCUCAACCUUGGAACUGCCUUUGAAACUCCUGUUCUUGAGGUCGAGAGAGGUGAGUGGAAGUCCGAGAGUAGAGGUGAAAUUCGUAGAUAUUCGGAGGAACACCAGUGGCGAAGGCGGCUCCCUGGCUCGAUACUGGCGCUGAGGGGCGAGAGCGUGGGGAGCAAACAGG
rnacentral:rRNA from 1 species